AAACCUUGAUUGUGAUUUCCAGUUUUUAUUUUCUCUGACGUAGUAGAAAGGAAUGUUUACAUUAAAAAUACUUUUGUUUCUCAUAAAUGGAUAUUGUACUCCCCCCUUUCAAAGCAUUAUUUUACAAUAAUUCAUGGCAUUUUAAAAAAUAAGGCAAAGAUAAUACGACAAAAAAUAUACAUGGUUUCAAGGCAAAUUCUCCAAUAAGUUGGAAAAUGUAAAAAGGAUCAAGUGGAUGCAGCCUCUACCUAAAUAAUUAAAAUAUAUUUCAGUAUAUUUCUGAAUUAACACCAGGUCUUCAUUAUUUAGAACUUACUAAAUUGUUUUCAUUUUCUUAGUUUUACCUGUGUAUCUCCAUGUUUGCAAAAAUUACUAUAAGUCAAAUUUUGCCAGUGAAUUUAACUAUUUUUCUUUCCUUGCAAUUAAGGGGAAAAAAGCAUUUAUCUUAUCUUCUCAUACCCCUUGCAUCUAAGUACUUAGCAAAGUCAAUAUUUUCCCAUUUUCCAAAUGCGUCCAUCUCUAACAUAAAUAUUAAUUGAACAUAGAGCUAUGUUUGGAGUGAGUGGACUGGCAGGACAGUUGGAAGUCCAUCACAGUCUAUUGACAGUUUCAUCAAAGCUGUAUAGUCCAACUAGUGGGGCAGCUUGGCUACUAUGGUGGAAGUCUCAGCAAACUGCCUGGUUUUGUUUGUUUGUUUUGUUUUAAGGUACAGGAAAUAAGAGGAAUAAUAGUGGCCAAAGCAAUUAGAACAUCUUCAUUCCAGAACUGUGUUCAGCAAUCCAGGCAGAUUGAUACAUUUUUCUUUAAAAAUAAAUUGCUAUUACAGCUAGACGUCAAUUGGGAUAAAUAAAGGGAUGAAGAUCCACUAAGUUUGUGACUUUCAUACACACCCAGUACAUCUCAAAGGAUGCUAAGGGACAUUUUCUGCCAGUAGAGUUCUCCCCCUUUUUGGUGACAGCAAUAUUAUUAUGUUCACAUCUAACUCCAGAGCUUACUUCCUGUGGUGCCAAUGUAUUUGUUGCAAUUUACUACAUUUUUAUAUGAGCCUAUUUAUAGGUGCCAUUAAACUCAGGUCUUUCAAAUGAAAGAGUUUCUAGCCCACUUAGGGAAAAAGAUAAUUGUUUAGAAAACCAUAAAAUCAAUGGUAGGAAAAGUUGGAACUGGUUACCUGGAUGCCAUGGUUCUCUGUUAAAUAAAGUAAGAGACCAGGUGUAUUCUGAGUGUCAUCAGUGUUAUUUUCAGCAUGCUAAUAAAUGUCUUUCCGGUUAUAUAUCUAUCUAAAUUAACCUUUAAAAUAUUGGUUUCCUUGAUAAAAGCACCACUUUUGCUUUUGUUAGCUGUAAUAUUUUUUGUCAUUUAGAUAAGACCUGGUUUGGCUCUCAAUAAAAGAUGAAGACAGUAGCUCUGUACAGGGAUAUAUCUAUAUUAGUCUUCAUCUGAUGAAUGAAGAAAUUUUCUCAUAUUAUGUUCAAGAAAGUAUUUACUUCCUAAAAAUAGAAUUCCCGAUUCUGUCUAUUUUGGUUGAAUACCAGAACAAAUCUUUCCGUUGCAAUCCCAGUAAAACGAAAGAAAAGGAAUAUCUUACAGACUGUUCAUAUUAGAUGUAUGUAGACUGUUAAUUUGCAAUUUCCCCAUAUUUCCUGCCUAUCUUACCCAGAUAACUUUCUUUGAAGGUAAAAGCUGUGCAAAAGGCAUGAGACUCAGGCCUACUCUUUGUUUAAAUGAUGGAAAAAUAUAAAUUAUUUUCUAAGUAAUAAAAGUAUAAAAAUUAUCAUU
rnacentral:lncRNA from 10 species